rnacentral:rRNA from 1 species
UUCCAGACUCCUACGGGAGGCAGCAGUGGGGGAUAUUGCACAAUGGGGGAAACCCUGAUGCAGCGACGCCGCGUGGGCGAAGAAGUAUUUCGGUAUGUAAAGCCCUAUCAGCAGGGAAGAAGAAAUGACGGUACCUGAGUAAGAAGCACCGGCUAAAUACGUGCCAGCAGCCGCGUUAAUACGUAUGGUGCAAGCGUUAUCCGGAUUUACUGGGUGUAAAGGGAGCGCAGGCGGCACGGCAAGCCUGAUGUGAAAGCCCGCGGCCCAACCGCGGGACUGCAUUGGGAACUGCCGGGCUGGAGUGCAGGAGGGGCAGGCGGAAUUCCUGGUGUAGCGGUGAAAUGCGUAGAUAUCAGGCGGAACACCGGUGGCGAAGGCGGCCUGCUGGACUGCGACUGACGUUGAGGCCCGAAAGCGUGGGGAGCAAACAGGAUUAGAUACCCCUGUAC